AUGCAGGAGCCCGGGCGGCGGCCGUUCGCCGGCGCCGUCGACCUGCGCCGGCCCAAGGGCUACCCGGCGCCGUCGGCGACCGCGCAGGCGGAGGUGGGGGCGGCGGCGGCGGAGGAGGGGGAGGCGCACGGCGACCCCUGCCCGCGCUGCGAGUCCAGGGACACCAAGUUCUGCUACUACAACAACUACAACACCUCCCAGCCGCGCCACUACUGCAAGUCCUGCCGCCGCUACUGGACCAAGGGCGGCACCCUCCGCAACGUCCCCGUCGGCGGCGGCUCGCGCAAGAGCUCCUCCUCGUCGUCGUCCUCGUCCUCCAGCCCCAAGCGCGCCAAGAACUCCAAGCGCCGCCGCGUCGCGCCGGCCGCGCCCCCGGCGCCCGAGGCUGAGCCCGGCGCCGACGCCUCAGCCGCCGUCGCCGCGACGACGAAGGAGGCCGCGGCCACCGAGGACGUCACAGCAGCUGAGGAUCCCGCCGCAGCCCCUACGGCGGACGGGUGUUUCGCUUUCACAGCCGGCGAGCCCGACGCGCCACCCGCGAAGGAAGGGUGCUUCACUCUCACGGCCGGCGAGCCUGACGCGCCACCCGCGGCGGACGGAGACGGGGGCUUCGCUUUCACGGCCGGCGAGCCCGACGUGCCACCCGCGGCUGACAGAAACGGGGGCCUGGCUUUCACCGAUCACCCGUCGGUGGCGCUCGGGCUCGGCGUGGCGGACGAGGCCGGCGGGAAGGAGCUGGCGGACCCGAGCCCGUUCGAGUGGCCGUCGGGCUGCGACCUGGGGUCCUACUGGGUGGCCGGCGUGUUCGCCGACACCGAUCCGGCGCUGUUCCUCAGCCCGCCGUGA
rnacentral:rRNA from 1 species